ensembl:lncRNA
ACACACACACACACACACACACACACACACACACACACACAGCUGUGGCCAGUGUCUCUUCCACCCAGCUCUCUCCUCAAGGGAAGUGCUGCUGAGCUCAGACGCCCAGCCUGGAUGUGAACACCUUUUCCAGUCUCCUAAUUACCCACUCGCUCACUGAGAGAGCACUCACACACACACACACACACACACACACACACACACACACACACACUCUGAAAACAUAUGCAGAAAGUCCCUGCCCCACCCACAGCCUCUCUCACACACACACACUCAUUCAGUCAGUGAGGGAGAAGCUCCACUCCACUCCUCACACACACCCUCAGUCACACACACACACACACACUGCUCCUGCUGCCGCUGCCAUGAAGCCCACUGGAAUAGUUCUGCUGGUCGUGUCCAUCACACUCCUCCAUAAAGGGCACUCCGAAGAGCUGUCUGCUCUCGCAGGUGACUCUCUACAAGCAAAUCUAACCAACCCAGCCGGUGAGUCUGAUACAGCAAAUCCAACGCCACAAGCCGCAGGCGAGGUCACUUCUCCUCAUCCACAGACCGAAAAGCCCGUGACUGCCAGUCUAACGACAAAAAGUCCUGAUCCGAACAAUGACUCCAAACAGACUUCCCAGAGCCCUACCACCAAGUCCCCUGCAGACCCCAAUAAAGAUGCAGAAGGUGAUGCCAAAGACCAAGAGACAGAAGCACCAACAGUACACACAACACAAACCGCUUCUCAUACAGAGGCCCCGGCUGUGGUUCCAGAUCCCGCAUCAGGUGGGAAUAGUACCGGCACUGAUAAGGGACACUCUGAGCAAGGAACUGAAGUGAAGCCAGCUGUCAAUGAGACAAAUGAAUUGCCACCUAAUACAGGAUCUGGAACAAACAAUCAGGAGAGUGGCCAAAAUGCAGAAGGUGAUGCCAAAGACCAAGAGACAGGAACUGAAGUGAAGCCAGCAGUCAAUGAGACAAAUGAAUUGCCAUCUGAUACAGGAUCUGGAACAAACAAUCAGCAGAGUGGCCAAAAUGCAGAAGGUGAUGCCAAAGACCAAGAGACAGACCGGAGAAUCCUGUGGAUUUUGUUGCCUGUUUUGGGUGUGUUGGUGGCAGGUGUGAUCUUUGUCCUCAAGUUCAAAUGCAUGAAAGUGCAUGAUCAUGCAGAACCUACUGAGAAUGGCACAGAGAACGCCUCCUUCCAAAGGUCUGACAGCAACAAAGAUGGCGUCAUGCUCCUGGGUGUGAAGACUUCUGGCGGAGAGGAAAACGCAGCGGCGAGAUAAGAUGGACGGCAGCCGAAAAGGACAGUCACUCAAGAAAGCAAGAGACACUUCUACACCCUCACCGCCACUGGAGAUCCUCCUGAUCGCCAUCAAUGGAUUCCACUUCACAGAUAUCACCAAAGAGCACUGAAGUGGGUUAGACUACAAACAUCCAAUGUGACGUAUGGUAUUUUCCUGUACAUUAAGCCAGAGAACUAAAAUAUAUAUAUAUACAUAUAUAAUACUGAAGUAAUGAAACAUGCAAGCGUGCAUAUAGACUGACAUAAUUAUAUGUCUGAUGGCUGAAAUUUCAUGUCAAUUUGAGACCAAUUGCCAUUGUUUAACACUAAAAACCAAUUGUCUUGUGGCAAUGUUUAACACUGAAACCAGUUGUGAACACUGAAGACCGUCUGGCAAAUGAGUGAAUGAUAUGAUAUUUCAGCCCCUGACGCCGUUGACAAAAUGGAUCACUGCCAUUGCUUCUCUCUCUCUCUCGAUAUAAUGGAUGAUAUUUGGGCUGAAGCAUCAGUCUCCUCUGCUUGUUCGUGUUUGCACUGAUAGCCUAGAUAAUGUCAGUUAAUUACUGUGUGAGAUGCCUUGGAUUCAGUGGAUAAGCUCAAGUGAAUUCACUGAUGUAAAUUGGAUAGUGUAUUAACACCUAAGAAAAUAAAGCGAGCUUGUGCGUUCAAGGUUCUGAAUAUUACGACUCACUGUUUUGGUAAUAGCUUCGAAGGCUUGAGUGAAUUUUUUCCAUAUUUUUGUAUCACAAAACAUAUUACUUUAACAACUAUGCAAACGCUUCUUUUAGAUUUAUAUUGAUAUUGGUCUUACACUGAAUAAAUCAUCAGGCCACAGUUAUUUGAUCAUCUCUCCAUGUUUUGCAUAAGCUGUCAAUCUAAGUCUCUUCUUUUUCCAUUUUUUUUUUUACCCUUUCUGUUUCGAUUGUAUUAAACUUGUAUGGGUUUCUAAUCUGUCAUGGACACGGAGUUCCCUGUUUUCUCUGCUGUAUAUUUGACUGCUCUCAGUAUCUGUGCUACUGGUCUUACUAAGUUAUAAAUGAAUAGAAAAAUGAAGGAUAUUCAAGCUUGCAGCAUGCAUUCAUAUGUGAAUCCAGCGGAAAAAGAUUGCUGAUCGUGUUUUGUGUGUUUGUUUGUUUGUUUGUUUGCUUGUUUUUCUGUUGUUUCUGUGCUGUUUUUCCACGUGGAUCUGUGUCGUUAGAGAGGGCCCACGCUUCACAACCUUGGCUUCCCAUAUUCUGUAUGCGAAACAUGAAUCUGAGAUGAAGCAAUCAGUUCUGCCACAACAUUUGAACACACCUGCUGCCUCUGUUAAAUGUUAUCCACAUGAGCAGUUUGUUUGUCUGUGUCUUUCUUGUGUUUCUCUCUCCAUUAAAAUACCUUCCUCCCCGAGGACCAAAAAAGCAAAUCUCUUUGGCAUUUAAUAAAAGCCCCGCAUUAAUCCUGUGACAUCCUCAACACCUCAGCGUCUGACGCUAAUAGCCCUCAGCUCACACGGCCUGGCCAGCUCCCGCACACAGAAACAGACUGCUGCUAUGAAUAUAGCUAUCACAGCCUCGCCAUCAAGCGUACAAUAAUAACAGCAUUGUUGCUAGGCGCUCAUCUGCACGGCUGCCCCUAGUCACUGUGGGUGACACAGAUUGUCAUCAUGGCUAGCAUGUAGCAUAUAGCAUGUAGCAGGAACAUAAUGAUGCACUCUGCUUGGCGGACAUCAUUAUUAUUACGCAUUAGAGGAGAUUUAUUUGAGGUUAAUGUUGGUUUUACCCAAUAAACGUUGCACUCGGUCAAAGUACGUGUGAGUGAGUCUCUUCCUCUCUUGUUCAACUGAUAUUAUUCAGCCUACGUCAGUAUGAGGGUACUUUAUUGGGGUGUAAGAUCAUCGGCAAUUCCACGGAUGAAUUCCAAGUGAAUUCUGGCUUAGGGUUAAUCCAAAUCAUGCUCUUCAGUGAAAAGGUUUCCUGC